GAUUUCUGGCGAACCGUUGCGGCCCGUGCUCGUUUCGGGCGUGUGUGCCGUGUCGUGUUUGUCAUCCUUCCAGAGAGCUGCGUCUACCAUUCACUUGGCCGGACGUACGCGAUCUGGAUCGAUUACUUUGAAAAAAUUAGAGUGUUUAAAGCAGGCUUUCGCUAUGAAUACAUUAGCAUGGAAUAAUAAUUUAGGACUUCGGUUCUAUUUUGUUGGUUUCUAGGACUGAAGUAAUGAUUGAUAGGGACAGUUGGGGAUGCUGAAAUUCAUUGGCCAGAGGUGAAAUUCUUGGAUUCAAUGAAGUUCAACUCAUGCGAAAGCAUU
rnacentral:rRNA from 1 species